UACAGAGGGUGCGAGCGUUAAUCGGAAUUACUGGGCGUAAAGCGCGCGUAGGCGGCUUUUCAAGUCGAUUGUGAAAUCCCCGGGCUUAACCUGGGAACUGCAGUCGAGACUGUCUAGCUAGAGUAUGGGAGAGGGAAGUGGAAUUUCAGGUGUAGCGGUGAAAUGCGUAGAGUAUCUGAAGGAACAUCAGUGGCGAAAGCGACUUCCUGGACCAAUACUGACGCUCAUGUGCGAAAGCGUGG
rnacentral:rRNA from 1 species